AUUGAACGCUGGCGGCAGGCCCAACACAUGCAAGUCGAAUGGUAACAGGAAACAGCUUGCUGUUUCGCUGACGAGUGGCGGACGGGUGAGUAAUGUCUGGGAAACUGCCUGAUGGAGGGGGAUAACUACUGGAAACGGUAGCUAAUACCGCAUAACGUCGCAAGACCAAAGAGGGGGACCUUCGGGCCUCUUGCCAUCAGAUGUGCCCAGAUGGGAUUAGCUAGUAGGUGGGGUAACGGCUCACCUAGGCGACGAUCCCUAGCUGGUCUGAGAGGAUGACCAGCCACACUGGAACUGAGACACGGUCCAGACUCCUACGGGAGGCAGCAGUGGGGAAUAUUGCACAAUGGGCGCAAGCCUGAUGCAGCCAUGCCGCGUGUAUAAAGAAGGCCUUCGGGUUGUAAAGUACUUUCAGCGGGGAGGAAGGGAGUAAAGUUAAUACCUUUGCUCAUUGACGUUACCCGCAGAAGAAGCACCGGCUAACUCCGUG
rnacentral:rRNA from 1 species